UACGAAGGGGGCUAGCGUUGUUCGGAAUUACUGGGCGUAAAGGGCGCGUAGGCGGUACUUCAAGUCAGGCGUGAAAGCCCCGGGCUCAACCUGGGAACUGCAUCCAAAACUGGCAAGCUAGAGUACGGUAGAGGGUGGUGGAAUUUCCUGUGUAGCGGUGAAAUGCGUAGAUAUAGGAAGGAACACCAGUGGCGAAGGCGACCACCUGGACUGAUACUGACACUGAGGUGCGAAAGCGUGGGGAGCAAACAGG
rnacentral:rRNA from 1 species